UCUGGAUGACUCUCGCCUUCGGGCGGAUGCGAGGUUUGCGUGCGAGCGCUCUCCUCGAAUUUCCAGGCUCUACGUCUCUUUACACACCCCAAACGUAUGAUGCAGAAUGUAGUCAAUGGGCCUUUACAAGCCUAUAAAACACUAUACAACUUUCAGCAACGGAUCUCUUGGCUCUCGCAUCGAUGAAGAACGCAGCGAAAUGCGAUAAGUAAUGUGAAUUGCAGAAUUCAGUGAAUCAUCGAAUCUUUGAACGCACCUUGCGCUCCUUGGUAUUCCGAGGAGCAUGCCUGUUUGAGUGUCAUUAAAUUCUCAACCUCACCGGUUUUCUGAACCGUUCUCCGAGGCUUGGAUGUGGGGGUCUGUGCAGGUCGCCUCAGCGCGGUCUGCUCCCCUGAAAUGCAUUAGCGAGAUUCAUUCUGGACCUCCGUCUAUCGGUGUGAUAAUUAUCUACGUCGUUGACUUGGUUCGGACUCGCUUCUAACCGUCCGCGAGGACAACAUACUUGACAAUUUGACCUCAAAUCAGGUAGGACUACCCGCUGAACUUAAGCAUAUCAAUAAGCGGAGG
rnacentral:rRNA from 1 species